rnacentral:rRNA from 1 species
UACGUAGGGGGCUAGCGUUGUCCGGAAUUAUUGGGCGUAAAGAGCUUGUAGGCGGUUUGUCGCGUCUGCUGUGAAAAUCCGGGGCUCAACCCCGGACUUGCAGUGGAUACGGGCAGACUAGAGGUAGGUAGGGGAGAAUGGAAUUCCCGGUGUAGCGGUGAAAUGCGCAGAUAUCGGGAGGAACACCGGUGGCGAAGGCGGUUCUCUGGGCCUUACCUGACGCUGAGGAGCGAAAGCGUGGGGAGCGAACAGG